GGUGGCUCAGCAGUAGAGUGCUUGCCUGGCAUGCAGGAGGCCCUGGGUUCGAUUCCUCAGCACCA
rnacentral:tRNA from 1 species